rnacentral:rRNA from 1 species
GAUGAACGCUGGCGGCGUGCCUAAUACAUGCAAGUCGAGCGAACGGACGAGAAGCUCGCUUCUCUGAUGUUAGCGGCGGACGGGUGAGUAACACGUGGAUAACCUACCUAUAAGACUGGGAUAACUUCGGGAAACCGUAGCUAAUACCGGAUAAUAUUUUGAACCGCAUGGUUCAAAAGUGAAAGACGGUCUUGCUGUCACUUAUAGAUGGAUCCGCGCUGCAUUAGCUAGUUGGUAAGGUAACGGCUUACCAAGGCAACGAUGCAUAGCCGACCUGAGAGGGUGAUCGGCCACACUGGAACUGAGACACGGUCCAGACUCCUACGGGAGGCAGCAGUAGGGAAUCUUCCGCAAAGGGCGAAAGCCUGACGGAGCAACGCCGCGUGAGUGAUGAAGGUCUUCGGAUCGUAAAACUCUGUUAUUAGGGAAGAACAUAUGUGUAAGUAACUGUGCACAUCUUGACGGUACCUAAUCAGAAAGCCACGGCUAACUACGUG